GAAUUUUACAAAAUUUAGAAGGGACCAAAAUAAAUUUCUUUAAAAAUUACCCAAUAAUUAGCUUUAUAGGAACAUGGAGGCUGCAGGGGGAACAACCAAAUUAAACGGACUGAAAUCAACGCUAACAAACACAGCAAUGUUUUCUCCACUUGGGGAAAGGGAAGAUAUAAUCCAACAACACGGUGCACAGGGAGCCCAUCAUCUUUCCCUUUUAGCAAGCCCAGCAGUUGCUGUUACAUCAGCGCAGACAUGUUUUUCAGCCAUUACACCUUGUACUGCUCCGCAGACAUUUGGCCCUACAGGGCACACACAGCCUUAGCUUACAGCUCUGUUUUUGCUUUCCCAUAGGACGGGCGAGACACUGCAUUACACAAGUGUGGCACAAGGAAGCUGCAUCUCUGCUGACCGAUGUGGAAGAGGCUCACCAGGCACACGCGUGGCUGGUAUGUGAGAAAAUCCUCUUUAUUCUGAGAUGGCCAUCAUGCCCCAUUAGAGUGGGGAAGUUUGGGUUUUUUUUUGCACAUGCCAUCCAAACUGUAUACAAAAUAACACUGGCCAAGGUGGAAGAUAACAAGCCCGUACAUCUCUCAGGACAGCUUUUGAGAAGGUUUGUUGGCAAAUUGGCAGUGGAAAGGAAGCAGCAGAGGGAGUUAUGUCCCAGGACCCUCGUUCCCAGCAUCAGGAACAAGCACUGGGGCCAGCGAGGAGGAGCAUUGGAAAGCACAGGUGAUGGAAGGCAGAGGGAGCGUGACUCCCUGUACAGCAAUGUGCUCCACAAUAACAGCACGAGAACCAGCUGCAAUUUGGUGGGGGUGGUGACACAGAGGUCAGACAGGCUGUAUUGUAAUUUGCGUCCAGGAAAAUGCAACCAGACAUGACCAGGCAACAAAGGAUCACUCUUCCAGUUAUUACGAACAAAGAGCAUGCAGCGGGAAAUCAUAGAGGCCUCUCUACAAGACCCCUGUGCCUUCAGCUUAGCUCCG
rnacentral:lncRNA from 1 species